AAGCCUGCUUAGAAACCAUCUUCCUGCAUCACCAUGACCUCAAGAGGACUGGAAAGGACUGACCCCCCUAGACUAUGAGCCAGAACAACAGGUGUCCUGGCUACUCUCAUGAGGAUGGAAGCCCCAGCUCUGCAGUGUGUGCUGCAGAGCUGAAUUGUGCCUCCUCCUUGGAGCUGCCAGUGUGGGAAUGGCCGUGGUGCCAGCAACUCCUCGGGCCCCCCACCCCAAGAGCUGAAUCCUAAGAAAGGCAUCAAACAGGAGUCUUGUCUCCUGGCCAAUUUCCUUCAGUGGACAAGGAGACAGAUAAAGCACAGGAGAGGGAAAAUGCUCCCUAAAUCACAGAAUUUAGCUGCAUAAUUCUUGUGCAUGAAGACCCGGAGAAGACAAAAGAUUGUUGUUUUAAGAGCUAAUAUUGCAGAAACGCCUAAGCACAAUGACCACAUGUCCGGCUGUGAAGGCAAGAGGCUGAAACUGCAGAGCUGAAGCUGCAAGAUGCUGUCCGGCUGUACAAAGGGGAAGUAGAACAUCUCCUUAUUCAGGAGAAUUGCCUCCCCGCCACCACCGGGAGGCAGAAGAAGACCCCCUAGCAACAGGAGGCGCAGGCGCUGAUGUGAUCCAGGAAGACACAGAGGCAGAGACUGUAUAAAAAAGGGAACCUCCUCAGCCAAGGCUGAGCGUGUGGGACGCUUAAGAGGAAGUGUCCUCCGGCUGCCCCAGCUGGCUUUUGCUUGCUUUACUGCUUGCUGGAUUAAUAAAAUUGGCUUUCAUUAA